AAAGUGGAGCAAUCCAUGAGUAAAGUGGCGACCGGGUGAGUAACACGUGACUAACCUGCCUUCGAGUGGGGGAUAACCUCGGGAAACCGGGGCUAAUACCGCAUAAUGCCUUCGGGUUAAAGGAGCAAUUCGCUUGAAGAGGGGGUCGCGGCUGAUUAGCUAGUUGGUGAGGUAAUGGCUCACCAAGGCGAUGAUCGGUAGCCGGCCUGAGAGGGCGCACGGCCACACUGGAACUGAAACACGGUCCAGACUCCUACGGGAGGCAGCAGUGGGGAAUUUUGCGCAAUGGGGGAAACCCUGACGCAGCAACGCCACGUGGAGGAUGAAGUCCCUUGGGACGUAAACUCCUUUCGACCGGGACGAUUAUGACGGUACCGGUGGAAGAAGCCCCGGCUAACUUCGUGCCAGCAGCCGCGGUAAUACGAGGGGGGCUAGCGUUGUUCGGAAUUAUUGGGCGUAAAGGGCGCGUAGGCGGUGCGGUAAGUCACCUGUGAAACCUCUGGGCUUAACUCAGAGCCUGCAGGCGAAACUGCCGUGCUGGAGUGUGGGAGAGGUGCGUGGAAUUCCCGGUGUAGCGGUGAAAUGCGUANAUAUCGGGAGGAACACCUGUGGCGAAAGCGGCGCACUGGACCACAACUGACGCUGAGGCGCGAAAGCUAGGGGAGCAAACAGGAUUAGAUACCCUGGUAGUCCUAGCCCUAAACUAUGGAUGCUUGGUGUGUUGGGUACCCAAUCCCAACGUGCCG
rnacentral:rRNA from 1 species